GAAGAAAGUUGAUUUGAGCAGAUGUUUCCCAACCAGCUGCUGAGUGGUCUAGCCCCUGGGCUGAAGGGUAUCUGAGGGCAGCGGGAUCUGGAAGGCUCUGGAGCCCUUCCAGCUGGCAGGCAAUAAUUCAGAGCUCACACAAAGAGCCAGGGUGAGUCACUAGUCUGCUGAUUAGGCUGCUCUCCUGGGAGGGAGGCACCUGGAUCCCAGACCCAGGAAAGCGAUUGCUCCAGGCUAGUUUUGGCAGAAGAGCUUGUUCCUCAAAAGAAGCAAGGGAUGGAACAAAUUCAGAAGCAGGACACAGUGAAAUUUUCUGGCUGAGUAGGCAACCAAGUCUGCAAGACUCAAGUCUCAAAACAUCACUCUAUCUUUCAAAGGGCAGAUCUUGCAGAAGAAUGGACAGAUGAUGGAGUUUUACCUCACUGCUGUUGGAGUUUUGAAGUUGAAGUCAAUGAAAGUGUGGCAGCGGCUGAAGGAAGAUGAGAGCUGUGGGGAACCGGGAAAGUUACCAUCUCUGUAAGUGGGACUUAAUGUGUUAGGGGUGAUGAAGCCUCUGAUAAUUUCUGUAUGCUUGGAAGCGAAGAAAAAAAAAAGACUAAAAGCUGCAGAGAAUAAAGACCUAAUUAUCUCUGUCUUCUAAGCCUCG
rnacentral:lncRNA from 1 species